rnacentral:rRNA from 1 species
GACGAACGCUGGCGGCGUGCUUAACACAUGCAAGUCGAACGGAAAGGCCCUGCUUUUGUGGGGUGCUCGAGUGGCGAACGGGUGAGUAACACGUGAGUAACCUGCCCUUGACUUUGGGAUAACUUCAGGAAACUGGGGCUAAUACCGGAUAGGAGCUCCUGCUGCAUGGUGGGGGUUGGAAAGUUUCGGCGGUUGGGGAUGGACUCGCGGCUUAUCAGCUUGUUGGUGGGGUAGUGGCUUACCAAGGCUUUGACGGGUAGCCGGCCUGAGAGGGUGACCGGCCACAUUGGGACUGAGAUACGGCCCAGACUCCUACGGGAGGCAGCAGUGGGGAAUAUUGCACAAUGGGCGGAAGCCUGAUGCAGCAACGCCGCGUGCGGGAUGACGGCCUUCGGGUUGUAAACCGCUUUCGCCUGUGGCGAAGAGUGAGUGACGGUAAUGGGUAAAGAAGCACCGGCUAACUACGUG